rnacentral:lncRNA from 1 species
AAGGUUUUCAUUUGAAAUGGUAGGAGGAAGGCAGAGAGCCGCUUGGUUUUUCAGUUUCUGUCGCAGCUCCACCCUUCAGAUCCCCAUCUGCUCCGAUUGCGACGAGAGAGAUAGGGAUCCGACCGUCGCACUAUGAAGGUAAACUCUCCUCCUUAAGCCUCUUUUUAUUAUCUCUAUAUGUAUGUGACCCAAAAAAGAAAAAAGUAAGAAGAGAAUACAUAAAGAAAAACGAAAAAGAACCACCUUAGAAAAAUUCCAUCGAUAUUUGAUUUCUCUGUUUUUUGUAUUUCAAUAUGUCUUUUUUUUACAUUCGAUUUUCUCUCCAUAUUUUUUUAUUUUUCUUCUAUUCAAUAUGUGUGUGUACCGUUUAUAGGGGUGUGCAAAAUUCGGUUAACUGACCGAAUUCGGUUAAUCGGUCGGUUAAUCGAAUUUUUUCGGUCGGGGGUCGGUUAAUUAUUUUUUAAUUUUUCGGUUAACGGUUAAUUCGGCUCGAAACCGGUCGGUUAACCGAAUUUUUUCGGUUAACUGAAAAAAUUAAUAAAUAAAAUUAUAAUAUAUAAAUAAGCCCACUAUUCACCUAAACCCAAGUAUUCAACCCAACCCAACCCAAUCAUAAAAUUAAAUACAAAUAAUUUAUUAAAUAAAAAUAAAAUUUUAAAACUAAGACUAAAACUAAAGUCUAAAAGUCUAAAAAUAAUUUAAUUAUGUAGUGAUUCAAUUUGGUUAAUUUGGUUAAUUCGGGUAAUUCGGUUAAUUCUGUUAAUUCGGUUAAUUCGGUUAAUUUUUAACCAAAAAUAAAAAACAUAUAAUUUUCGGUUAACCGACCGAAUUAACCGAAAAAAUUUCGGUUCGGUUAAUUUUUUUGAAAAAAAUUUCGGUUCGGUUAACAGUUAAAGAUUUUGAAAGGUCGGUUAAUUCGGUUAAUGUUAUUUCGGGUCGGUUAACCGGUCGGUUAACCGAAUGAACACCCCUAACCGUUUACAGAUUCUUAAAUCGGCCUUUAUAGCCGAAAAUGAAAAAAAGAAAAUAAAAUCAAAAAAAAUCAAAAGAAAUCUGUCCUUUUUCAUUUACUGUUGAUUUCUGCUCUUUUUGUUUGCUUGUCGUUCUUGCAGGUACGACGUACGCGCAGCGUGUGGCAGUGUGUGAAGGCUGUACGGAGGCGUGCGUGGCUGGGGAGAACGGCGCUGGAAGCUGCUAGGGUUUUAGCCUCUGAUUUUGCGUUGGGCCGCUUCGUGAUUGGGCUAGGGUCUAGGCAAAUUGGGUUUAAAUUUUAAUGGGCCCUAGUGAAUUAGCAAUUUGGGCCUGAUGUUGGGUAGUUUAGGUAUUGGGUUUCUGUUAAUUGGACUUUGGGUAUGUAAUUUUGGUUUUUUUUUAAAUUGGGUUAAUGUAAUGGACAUUUGGACUUUUAAUUUUUUUAUUUUUAUAUUUGGGUUUUAAUAUCUGUAUUGGGCUGGGCAAAAUUUGGGUAUUACAAUAGUGAAAUUAAAAUCAACUUCGUAGUAUAUAUUUAAAUU